GAGACAACAUCCUCGGGAGAGUUAUUGAUUUAAGGAUUGAGGAGUAUAUCUGUAUAUCUUUACAUCAAAUAUUUGAGAAGAUGGCCUUCCAGAUAUUCCAACUCAGUAUGCGAAAAAUAAAUAAAAAACGGAAUACAACAAAUUUGAAGAGGACACAAUUCGUGAAGAAAGAACUAAAAUGCAGAAAACGCGUGAGGACUGAUACUAUUUGAUUUCCACACUCUGUAUGAGGAGAAAAUAAGCUCUGUUAUCACUUCGCGUACGUGAUCAUUAAUUCUUAAUAUCCUGACAAGUCCUGUGUCAAACGAAUCGUAUGAACAAGGACCUUAAAGUGUCCAAAGGAUAUCAAAAUCGUCCUUCUACUUUCCAAGAUAUGCGUAUUUUACUAAAAAGGACAUUUUUAAAAAGGCCAUAACUCGGCCAAAUCCUUAAGGAUAUCGGAAGGAUAUACCUUUUUGAACUCGUGGGGACCAGGACUAUCGAUUAUCAUUCAAGAUUUCCAA